rnacentral:rRNA from 1 species
UGCAGUCGACGGAAGGCCCUUCGGGGUACUCGAGUGGCGAACGGGUGAGUAACACGUGGGUGAUCUGCCCUGCACUUUGGGAUAAGCCUGGGAAACUGGGUCUAAUACCGAAUAGGACCACGCGCUUCAUGGUGUGUGGUGGAAAGCUUUUGCGGUGUGGGAUGGGCCCGCGGCCUAUCAGCUUGUUGGUGGGGUAAUGGCCUACCAAGGCGACGACGGGUAGCCGGCCUGAGAGGGUGACCGGCCACACUGGGACUGAGAUACGGCCCAGACUCCUACGGGAGGCAGCAGUGGGGAAUAUUGCACAAUGGGCGCAAGCCUGAUGCAGCGACGCCGCGUGAGGGAUGACGGCCUUCGGGUUGUAAACCUCUUUCAAUAGGGACGAAGCGCAAGUGACGGUACCUAUAGAAGAAGCACCGGCCAACUACGUGCCAGCAGCCGCGGUAAUACGUAGGGUGCGAGCGUUGUCCGGAAUUACUGGGCGUAAAGAGCUCGUAGGUGGUUUGUCGCGUUGUUCGUGAAAACUCACAGCUUAACUGUGGGCGUGCGGGCGAUACGGGCAGACUAGAGUACUGCAGGGGAGACUGGAAUUCCUGGUGUAGCGGUGGAAUGCGCAGAUAUCAGGAGGAACACCGGUGGCGAAGGCGGGUCUCUGGGCAGUAACUGACGCUGANGAGCGAAAGCGUGGGGAGCGAACAGGAUUAGAUACCCUGGUAGUCCACGCCGUNNCGGUGGGUACUAGGUGUGGGUUCU